rnacentral:tRNA from 1 species
GAAAAAGUACGCAAGAACUGCUAAUUCUACACCCCGUGCCUAACAGUACGGCUUUUUCA